rnacentral:lncRNA from 1 species
CAAAAAACAGAGAAAAAGUAGGCAGGUAGGGUAGGUAACAUAUUUAUAUAAUUAGGAAUGAUACAAAAGCAUUAAUAAGUACGUACAAACCAGGCAUCCCUAAUCAUAAAAUUACACGAGUGAUUGCAGAGCAGGGUGUGCUCACUUUCAGUACUUCUUAAAGAAGCGCUGCUGCUGCUGCUGCUGCUGCUGCUACUGCUACUACUGCUACUACUACAUAAUUAACCACAUAACAUCUACUAUCUCCUUUAUUUGAUUUGCAACAAUCAGCAUCCUAAAUGGAAAAAGUAAGUCUUAAUAAUAAUAAUAAUGCUCCGGUCUCCCUCUCCCCCAACCUGCAAACCAUAGAGGAACAAAUGCCAUACAUAUAUCAGAUCAGAUCUCAUUUCACAAACUUAAAAAAUCAUAAUCAUUUUUUUUUCGUUUGUUUUGAAACAAAAUCAUUUUCUUAAAUACGUACGUACAAAGUACUAGUAAGAUAGGAGAGAGGAAAUUAAUAAAGAUGGAUUUAGUCGCUAUCGCUGCUGCUGCUGUCGCCGUGUUUGUCAUGGCCAUGCUCGCCGUGCUUCUUCUUGUCCUUCUUCUUCUUCUUGUCGUGGCUCUUCUUGUCGCCGUCGUGGUGAUCGUCGCUGCUACCGCCAUGGCCGCCUUGGAUCUGAUCCUUGACUUUGCCAACGAUUCCACCACCUCCAUGGCCACCUUCCUUGUGAUCUCCAGCGUGCUGGCCUUCGGGCUUCUUGUGUUGUUCACCUUCCUUGUGCUUGUCACCUCCCAUGCCCAAUGUCUCCUCUAUUUUGUGGAUUAUAUUCGCCAUUUUCUCUCUCUCUCUUCUUUGUUGUAAAUAAAUCUGGAUCUGAUGGAGCGAGUAAAUGAGUGAGAAAUGGAGGACGAAGGUCACGGAUUUUAUAAGGCACUAAAAGUAGGAAGGGUAAGAGAGAGAGAAAAUAAAUCUUGGAGUUGAUUAAACAACCUUAUCCUCCGCUACAUACGUGUUGCCGCCGCGUCCAAAGAUGGAUUAAAGUCGUAUCACGUCGCUAUCCUAUCUAUAAGACUAUAAUACUUCCUUCCUAACUAUUUUCCUCUUUUAAUAUAAGUGGUUUUGGAAUUGUGUAUAAAUAUUAAAAAUAUAAUUAUAUAAUAUUAAAUAUUUAUAUUAUCUUUAUAUUAAAAAAAAAUUAUUAUUAAAUAAAAAAAUCAAAAAUAUAUUUAAUAUAAAAUUAAAUAAUUAAUAUUAAUUAAAAUUCUCAAAUAACUUAUAUUAAAAGAUAAAAAUAUUUUUUUUAAACUACUUAUAUUAAGCUAUGGAGACAGUACUUUACUACCACUAUAUCACCCUACCAAGACUUUGAAUAUUUCCAAAUCGACUUAAAUUAUUAUUAUUAUUAUUAACUUGGACAAUUCAGAUUUCCUUUAUUCUGAAGCAUCUCAUACGUGGACGGUUCACAACUCUUACCGACACUUAAUCUGGGGACCACUCUGAGCCACGUGACUGUCAGCUAUAAAGAUCAAGGAGACUCCAUCCAUCCAUCAACCUCAGAUUCCCGAUAAACUUUAUUUGUUCAGUGCUAUCAAUAGGACAAUAAACUUUAGGUAGUGUUUGAUUGUAAUGCCUCUGCUUUGAGAAGAGGUAAAAUUUAUUUGAUAAUUUAUUUUAACCUCUUAAUAACUCUUAAUAGAUAAGAUUUAAAAUAAUUCUAAAUCACUCAGAACCUCUUCUUAAUGAGUUUUUCAUCAAGUAUAAUAUUAUAUAUAUAUAUAUACUUCACACGUUUGUAAACAUUCGAAGAUUUUUAUCUCUAUAUUGCAAUACAAAAUAUUGAUUAGCUGAUUUUUGAUGCAGACACGCUUUGAAUAAAGAGGAAAAAUUUAACCAUGCUCAUGCACAACUCAAAAAUAUUAUUGAGCGUGUUUAUGGUAUGUUGAAAGUAAGAUUCUCAAUUUUGAGACGGAUGGCUCCUUACCCUUUUACAAUACAAAGAGAUAUAGUUAUUGCUUGCUUCGCAGUCCAUAAUUUCAUAAGAAAGUAUAACAUUGAGGAUGAAUUGUUUGCUCAAUAUGAUCGAGAUAACAUGUUUGACGAUGAAGCGGAGCAAAAUGAAGGGAAUGAAGAAGAAGGACAAGAUGAACCGCAAUGGAGAUAUCAAGACAUAGAAUUUAUGGUUAAUCUACGUGAACAAAUUGCACUUCAACUCUUAACAACUGUUUGACGUUCAUUAAAUUUGUAUGGUUGAAUUAUUAUGAUAUGUUGAUAUUUUCAUUGGACAUAAUACAUUUUGUUCCAUCAAAUUGUAGUCAAAAUAUUAUAAAUAUGUAUUUAAAAUAUUAUUCAGACCUUUCUGAUUAUCAAACAUGUUUUGCUUAAACUGUUCAGAAGAUUAACAUGAUAAAAUACUGUUAUUCAGACAUUUUAAAAAAAUUAAUUAUCAACCAACAUUUUUUUCUGAACAGAGAUUAUACGUGUGUGCCACUUUAAACUCUUCUAAGCUGCAUGUCAAAAAAAAAAACCAAAAAAACCCACCUAUUAUAAACAUAAUAGGGUGAAUUUGGCCAUUCACAACAUCAAAUUUUCAUCAUUGUAAGUAUAAUUUGGUCUUUAAAACAUCGAGAGUUUCAUCCCACGAAAAUUGCGUUUAAGAUCCCUUGAUAGUGAAUUUUAUUAUGGAACAAUUACAUAUUAUAGUACAUUUAUAAAAGUAAUUACAAAAAUCAUACACUCAUAAAAUAAUUAUAAAAAUAUGACAUUUCAUCAUAUAUAUUUACAAUAGUGAGGAUAAUUAGGAGUCCUUAAUUUAAGGGAUAAAUAUUAAUGAGCUGACAUGGUAAACGAUUUUUUUGAAACACGUGAUAACCGUCUAUCAUUUGCCUGGGACUCUACAGUUACCAAACCCUUGUGCAUGCUGAAACCCUUGUUUCUCUCAUUUGUCGCGACUAAUCUCGUAAUCGGAGUUAAAAAAGCUUGUUUCCGGUGACUUCAUUUCUGUUCGUAAGUUCUUCAUUGUUCGUUUAGUUGUUCUUCAUUGUUUCUAUUCGUUUAGUUGUUCGUCAUUGUCGUUGUUACUCGUUAUCGCUGUUGCAGUGUGGUUCAGUUACUCGUUGUUACUCGUUAUCGCUAUUACUCGUUAUUGCGGUUGCAGUCUGGUUCAUUGUCGUUGUUACUCGUUAUUCUUCUCCAUUGAUCGAAUCUGGUGUUUAUUAUUGCUUCAAGUGAGUAUUUUCUUAAUAGUUUAAUGUAUUAUAUAUUAAAGUAGUUUACUAACAGAAUGGAGUAUUCAUUGUUUUGGUUUGUGUUGUUUUUAUGUUUUGUAUAGAAAUGGUUGAUACAAGGAAGAAGGAUGGAAAGAGGAAAAGGAUCGUUGAGGUUGACUUUGUUAAGAACUUGAAGAAUUUUGUUGUGGAGAGCAAGGGGAAGCGAAAGGGGAAGCGAAAGGGGAAGGAUGUAGGUAAUAAAUCGAGUAAGAAUGAGAGUAGUUUGGUGAUAC